UACGAGGGAUCCUAGCGUUGUUCGGAAUCAUUGGGCGUAAAGGGUGUGUAGGCGGCCAAGUAAGUCAGUUGUGAAAGCCCCGGGCUCAACCCGGGAAGUGCUUCUGAUACUGCUUGGCUUGAGUAUUGGAGAGGUGAGUGGAAUUCCAGGUGUAGUGGUGAAAUACGUAGAUAUCUGGAGGAACACCGGCGGCGAAGGCGGCUCGCUGGGACGGUACUGACGCUGAGG
rnacentral:rRNA from 1 species